AGUGAACGCUGGCGGUAGGCCUAACACAUGCAAGUCGAACGGCAGCACAGUAAGAGCUUGCUCUUACGGGUGGCGAGUGGCGGACGGGUGAGGAAUACAUCGGAAUCUACUUUUUCGUGGGGGAUAACGUAGGGAAACUUACGCUAAUACCGCAUACGACCUACGGGUGAAAGCAGGGGAUCUUCGGACCUUGCGCGAUUGAAUGAGCCGAUGUCGGAUUAGCUAGUUGGCGGGGUAAAGGCCCACCAAGGCGACGAUCCGUAGCUGGUCUGAGAGGAUGAUCAGCCACACUGGAACUGAGACACGGUCCAGACUCCUAUGGGAGGCAGCAGUGGGGAAUAUUGGACAGUGGGCGCAAGCCUGAUCCAGCCAUACCGCGUGGGUGAAGAAGGCCUUCGGGUUGUAAAGCCCUUUUGUUGGGAAAGAAAAGCAGCAGGUUAAUACCCCGCUGUUCUGACGGUACCCAAAGAAUAAGCACCGGCUAACUUCGU
rnacentral:rRNA from 1 species